rnacentral:rRNA from 1 species
UUUUUAGAGAGUUUGAUCCUGGCUCAGGAUGAACGCUGGCGGCGUGCCUAACACAUGCAAGUCGAACGGAGUCGUUUUGGAAAUCUCUUCGGAGAUGGAAUUCUCGACUUAGUGGCGGACGGGUGAGUAACGCGUGAGCAAUCUGCCUUUAAGAGGGGGAU